AACGAACGCUGGCGGCGUGCCUAACACAUGCAAGUCGUGCGAGAAAGUUCCUUCGGGAGCGAGUAAAGCGGCGCACGGGUGAGUAACACGUAGGUAACCUGCCCCCCAGUCUGGAACAACUAGAGGAAACUCUAGCUAAUGCCGGAUGAGACCACGAUCCCUUCGGGGGUUGCGGCCAAAGAUGGCCUCUACUUGUAAGCUAUCGCUGAGGGAUGGGCCUGCGGGCCAUUAGCUUGUUGGUGAGGUAACGGCUCACCAAGGCUGUGAUGGCUAGCUGGUCUGAGAGGAUGACCAGCCACACUGGGACUGAGACACGGCCCAGACUCCUACGGGAGGCAGCAGUGGGAAUAUUGCGCAAUGGGCGAAAGCCUGACGCAGCGACGCCGCGUGGGUGAUG
rnacentral:rRNA from 1 species